CCUACGGGGGGCAGCAGUGGGGAAUAUUGCACAAUGGGCGCAAGCCUGAUGCAGCCAUGCCGCGUGUGUGAAGAAGGCCUUCGGGUUGUAAAGCACUUUCAGCGGGGAGGAAGGCGGUGAGGUUAAUAACCUCAUCGACUGACGUUACCCGCAGAAGAAGCACCGGCUAACUCCGUGCCAGCAGCCGCGGUAAUACGGAGGGUGCAAGCGUUAAUCGGAAUUACUGGGCGUAAAGCGCACGCAGGCGGUCUGUCAAGUUGGAUGUGAAAUCCCCGGGCUCAACCUGGGAACUGCAUUCGAAACUGGCAGGCUAGAGUCUUGUAGAGGGGGGUAGAAUUCCAGGUGUAGCGGUGAAAUGCGUAGAGAUCUGGAGGAAUACCGGUGGCGAAGGCGGCCCCCUGGACAAAGACUGACGCUCAGGUGCGAAAGCGUGGGGAGCAAACAGGAUUAGAUACCCGGGUAGUC
rnacentral:rRNA from 1 species